AUUGAACGCUGGCGGCAUGCCUUACACAUGCAAGUCGAACGGCAGCACGGGAGCAAUCCUGGUGGCGAGUGGCGAACGGGUGAGUAAUAUAUCGGAACGUGCCCAGUCGUGGGGGAUAACGUAGCGAAAGCUACGCUAAUACCGCAUACGAUCUAUGGAUGAAAGCGGGGGAUCGCAAGACCUCGCGCGAUUGGAGCGGCCGAUAUCAGAUUAGGUAGUUGGUGAGGUAAAGGCUCACCAAGCCGACGAUCUGUAGCUGGUCUGAGAGGACGACCAGCCACACUGGGACUGAGACACGGCCCAGACUCCUACGGGAGGCAGCAGUGGGGAAUUUUGGACAAUGGGCGGCAAGCCUGAUCCAGCAAUGCCGCGUGCAGGAUGAAGGCCUU
rnacentral:rRNA from 1 species